rnacentral:misc_RNA from 1 species
GAUGAAGAACUUAGUGAAACGCGAUAUGUAAUGUGAAUUGCAGAAUUCAGUGAAUCAUCGAAUCUUUGAACGCACAUGGCGCCUUCCAGUAUCCUGGGAGGCAUGCCUGUCCGAGCGUCGUUUCAACCCUCGAGCCCCCGUGGCCCGGCGUUGGGGAUCUGCCCAGGCAGUCCCCGAAAACCAGUGGCGGACCCGUUACAGGCCCUUCCCUUGCGUAGUAGCAUUCGCCUCGCAUCGGGAGCCGGCGGGCUUCCAGCCUCUAAACCCCCAUCAAGUCCGCCCCGGCGGCACCAAGGUUGACCUCGGAUCAGGUAGGAAUACCCGCUGAACUUAAGCAUAUCAAUAAGCGGAGGA